rnacentral:rRNA from 1 species
UACAUGCAGUCGAGCGAAUGGAUUAAGAGCUUGCUCUUAUGAAGUUAGCGGCGGACGGGUGAGUAACACGUGGGUAACCUGCCCAUAAGACUGGGAUAACUCCGGGAAACCGGGGCUAAUACCGGAUAACAUUUUGAACCGCAUGGUUCGAAAUUGAAAGGCGGCUUCGGCUGUCACUUAUGGAUGGACCCGCGUCGCAUUAGCUAGUUGGUGAGGUAACGGCUCACCAAGGCAACGAUGCGUAGCCGACCUGAGAGGGUGAUCGGCCACACUGGGACUGAGACACGGCCCAGACUCCUACGGGAGGCAGCAGUAGGGAAUCUUCCGCAAUGGACGAAAGUCUGACGGAGCAACGCCGCGUGAGUGAUGAAGGCUUUCGGGUCGUAAAACUCUGUUGUUAGGGAAGAACAAGUGCUAGUUGAAUAAGCUGGCACCUUGACGGUACCUAACCAGAAAGCCACGGCUAACUACGUGCCAGCAGCCGCGGUAAUACGUAGGUGGCAAGCGUUAUCCGGAAUUAUUGGGCGUAAAGCGCGCGCAGGUGGUUUCUUAAGUCUGAUGUGAAAGCCCACGGCUCAACCGUGGAGGGUCAUUGGAAACUGGGAGACUUGAGUGCAGAAGAGGAAAGUGGAAUUCCAUGUGUAGCGGUGAAAUGCGUAG